CCGGACAAAAACCUCACGAGUAUGAGAGCACUUCACUAGAUGCCUUGAAAAGACCGGUGACCUGCAAAAUAUGCAAAAACCAUGGCACGACGGAAGCACGACGUCCCUAAGUGAACAUUUGAGAUGAAAACGUGGGGGCUGAUGCAGCAGAGGAAUGUCCGAAAAAAACAAGCAACGAUGGACAACUACAUGGGGAACAAGACACUCACCCCCAGCAAUGCAUACCACUUACAAACUCUAUUCUAGAUUCUACAUUAUUUUUAUGGAAUUUACCUCAUAUUUUGAUGCCAAAAAAUUAUUCUGGACUGAUAUUUUGCACUGUUUAGCUCAUUUUACACCACUGACUGUGUUCAUCUGCAAUAAAAUAGAUUGCAGUCAACUGCAAAA